GCUCUGUAACCACCUUCUUUUCAAGCCAUCUUCUAAUUGGCCGAGCACCAUAAACAGGAUCAUAACUCUCGGCUAAUAUGUAAUCCAAUGCAGUAUCAGUCACUGCCAACGCGAUACCCCUCUCAGCAAGACGAACAGCUACAUCCUUCAUUUGUAACCUAGCAACUUUCCUCAAUUGGUCAUGAGAAAGUGGAUCAAACAUCACAAUCUCAUCAAGCCGAUUUAGUAACUCAGGCCUAAAUUGCUUCCUCACCUCUUGCAUAACACGAUCUCGAGCAACUUGCAUUGAACAUUUGCCCAUUAAUCCUGACAGCAGG
rnacentral:misc_RNA from 1 species